ensembl:lncRNA
UGGAGGUGGAUGCCAGUGCGGUUGGAGCUGGGGCUGUGCUGUUACAGGAAGAUGCGGAUGGAGUUGAUCAUCCCAUCUGCUUCUUCUCAAAGAAGUUCUUAAAACAUCAGGGUGGCUCCUCAUCAGCCCAUGAUUGGACUCCUCCCACUUCCUGCCGUGAUUGGUGGGCUGUAAUCAGGAAGAGGGUUCAAAAUGGUGGCUGCUUUGGUGAAGAAGAAGAGAGUUGGUGAAAAGAGGAGGAGAGUGUUUGAGGAAGAUAGACUGUUGUUGGUGAAGAUAGACUGUUGUUGGUGAAGAUAGACUGUUGUUGGUGAAGAUAGACUGUUGUUGGUGAAGUGAAGUAUUAGGACGAGAAGAUAAGACUUAGACUGCCCAGACCUGUUUUGUGUUUCUGUUGUUUAAAUGUCUUCGUUUGUAAUAAAAGAUUAGCCUUAAGUGUUGUUGCGUCGUUUUGGAGUUUAUACUCAUAUGUCCCAUUUGUUAUGUCCCUGACCCUAGACCGGGGACGUAACAUGCACACAUGACCCUGACGUGGUGUCACUUUAAUCCGGGUUCAUAUUUCACCACUUUUUAUUUGUAUAUUUAUUUCAGAAGCUGUUUCUCUUAGACGUGCUGCAAUGGGAAAUGGGUGCGGUGCGGUGCGGUGCGGUGCAAGAUUUACACCAAGUCCCCCGGAUUUUUAGUCUUUCCUUUUUCUGAUGUCUUCAACCCUGGUGCUGAGGUUCCACACUUGAGACACAAGGAAAGCACCAGGUCCAGACUGCAUCUCCUCUUCCACCUUCAAAACCUUUGCUGGCCAUCAGGAUCCAGGUUUCGCACAUGGACUGUCCUCAGGGAUGAGUCCUCUCCCCACAGCGCUCCAGGAUUGUCUCCAGAACUACUGAAACGAGUCAGAGGGACAUAAAAUCAACAUUCCAAGUGAGAAACAUUAUUACCAUUAACUGCUGGUUUUAUAGACCACCAACCUGCUUGGGCGAGUGAAGUUUAAUGUCACCGUAAAAGAAUUUCACAGAUACAGGAGACAGUAUGAAUCGUUUUUGAAGGUAAAUCAUGCUGGAUUAGGGAGUAGCCUCAUGUAAUGCAAGUAAACAGGAAGUGUUUUUUAAAUUGCGUAUUAAACACUAGCAAACAGCCACUCUGAAAACAGACUCCACAGGGAGUUGAACCCCGCCCUGAUCAUGAAGGUCAGGUGUGCCACCACCGGAGCCUUUUUUUUUUUGGCUUUUUUUGCUACUAUUAUUAAUUAUUUAAGUAUUUAAGUAUGAGGCGCCCCCUAGAACAUAUUUCAACAAAAUAGAUGUUUGCAUGUGCGAAGUUUGCAUGUAGAAGCGUCAAGAAUAUAUGGCGUAUGUGCGAGGUUUGUAUGUAGAUGCGUGAGGAAUAUAUGGCGUAUGUGUGAGGUUUGUAUGUAGA